GAUGAAGAACGCAGUGAAAUGCGAUAAGUAAUGUGAAUUGCAGAAUUCAGUGAAUCAUCGAAUCUUUGAACGCACAUUGCGCCCGUCAGUAUUCUGGCGGGCAUGCCUGUUCGAGCGUCAUUACGCCCCUCAAGUCCCCUGUGGACUUGGUGUUGGGGAUCGGCGAGGCUGGUUUUCCAGCACAGCCGUCCCUUAAAUUAAUUGGCGGUCUCGCCGUGGCCCUCCUCUGCGCAGUAGUAAAACACUCGCAACAGGAGCCCGGCGCGGUCCACUGCCGUAAAACCCCCCAACUUUUUAUAGUUGACCUCGAAUCAGGUAGGACUACCCGCUGAACUUAAGCAUAUCAAAAGCGGAGG
rnacentral:misc_RNA from 1 species